UGCGGCCAACUAGUUGUGGUUGAGGAACCUACUUAUGCUCCUCCGCCUCCACUAGUUGUGAUUGAGGAACCUACUUCUUCUCCUCCGCCUCCAUUAGAUGUGGUUAAUGAACCUAUUUUUGCUCCUCCGCCGUGGGGGAAUCUGUAUAUGGAGAUUAUAUAUAAAGAGAAGAAGGUGUCAUGAGUUUGGUCAUAACUUCACAGUUUUCUCCCAAGAAGAAAAAAAAAGAGAAACCGAACAGUAAGUGGGGAACCUUGAAGCUAGUUCAAACUAGUGAGAGGUUGAUCCACGUUCUAACUGCAAAUCCAAAAACACAAAUCCAAACCUUAAAAGCAUCAUAUAGAGAUGGUUCGUGGAAAAAUUCAGCUGAAGAGGAUCGAGAACCCGGUUCACAGACAAGUAACGUUCUGCAAAAGGAGAACUGGUCUUCUCAAAAAGGCUAAGGAGCUCUCUGUGCUCUGUGACGCCGAGAUUGGUGUUGUAAUUUUUUCUCCUCAGGGCAAGCUCUUUGAGCUUGCAACUAAAGGGUAUUAAUGUAUUAUAUAUCUCAUAGUCUUCAUAUAUGUAUUUUUGUUUUUUUUCAAGAAUUCCUUUAUUUGUGUUUUAAUGUAGUUAAAUAGAAACUUAUAUAUAUAGAAAUUUGAUUUAUAAAAAACAGAACAAUGGAGGGGGUGAUUGAUAAGUACUUGAAGUGUACUGGUGGUCAUCGUGGUUCUUCUUCUGCUACUUUUACUUCUCGAGAACAAUUUCAACCCCCAAAUCUUGUACGUCUCUCUCCUCUCUUUCAUUUUAAUUCUUUAUUUCCUUGCGUACUUAUAAAACUUUUCUCUUUGAGUUUUGGAAUCAAUUUUUGAAACUGUUUGGUUGUUAUGCCAUUUUUGGUUUUAUUAAAAUUAGCCGGUGCUCAACGUCUCAUAAACACCGUUAAUCAUUUCUUUUCAUUUCGUUCUAUGGGGUUUUCUGUUUCUUCUUUUUCUGUAUAAAUAUACUCCUUAUUUUGAUAUUAUGCUAUUUGGUAACACGUGUGGACAUGCAAAGCGAGACUCUGUUGGGCGUUGUUCAUAAUUAACUGAUUUGAAUUAAAAUAGUCUGCAAGCUAGGUAGGGCACCAGAUUCCGAUUAUACAUGAAAUUAAUAGUUAUGAAGUAAACAGUCGUUGCAAUUACCGCUCCCAUUUUCUGAUUUAUUAAUUUUAUCAACUAGUGUGAGCCACUCACAUAUUGUGGAACGUUUGUACUACAAGUAUAAAUGAAAAAAAAAAACAAAACAAAAACAAAACAAAAACAAGUAAUUUGUUUCAAUUUUUAUUGGUAAAGCAAAACAAUUCAAACUAUUACUGUUAAAGUAAAAGAUGCUUUAGAUACAACAAUACCCAUAUAACACUUUAAAAAUAUUUGAAUAUUUUUGUUCUUUAAUCCCAUUAUAUUUCGAACGAAGUAUCAUAUUAUUUUAUCUCAGCACAGUCUUUUGAUAAAAGUUGCCCUAGACACUUAAAAAACGUAGCCCUAAGCUGUUGUCAUUGGCACGCGCGGAACCAUGUACAUACUCCAUUAUAUUUUUUUUAUGCAUGAUAUCUAUACAUUUUUGGAAUAAAUACAUGUACGUCUGUCUAUAUGUACGGUCAGUACGGACAUGGUCCCUAAUUGUAACUUAACAUUAUUAUUUACAAAUAAUAGAAACAUUGAAACGAGAUUUGAUUAUUUAGGAUCCGAAAGAUGAGGUCAAUGUGCUUAAGAAAGAGGUUGAGAUGCUUCAGAAAGGAAUAAGGUAUAUAUUUAGUUAUUUACACAUUAGCUACUUCCUUACUAAAUUCGUACAUACAUACAUAUAUAUAUGCAUAUAUGGAUGCAUGUUCUUAUGGAUUAUAAAUUCGUACAUACAUACAUACAUAUAUGCAUAUGUAAUAAUAAAAUGGAUUCAGUUAUAUGUUUGGAGGAGGAGAUGGGGCGAUGAAUCUUGAAGAACUUCUUCUGCUAGAGAAGCAUCUUGAGUAUUGGAUUUCUCAGAUCCGCUCUGCUAAGGUAUACAUGAGAUUAAUGCUUGUAUAGAUGUACAAUCAAUAUGUUACGGAAAAUAAAUAUUAAAUACUGAAGAUUAGGAAAAUUAUACAGUAAAAUUCUAUAAAUUAAUAAUGUUGGGACUAUGGUGUUUUAUUAUUUUAUAGAGUUAUUAAUUUAUAAAACUUUCAUUUUUAGAUUUUACCAUAUAUAUACAUUAAUUAAAUUUUAGAAAAUAUAUUUUAUAUUUUAUUAUAUUACUUGGUGUACAUAAAAUAUCUUUCAUAGAAUUUAAGUGUUGCUUUAUAGUAUUAUUGUCAAAUAUAUUGAAAUGUUAAGAAAACAUAGAUGAAUUAUUUUUUUGUACAUAUAUAAAUUAUAUAUAUACAAAUUAUUAAUUUAUGAUUUUAAUAGGAUUAUAUAUUUACAUUGGAUUAACUUAAAAAAAUAUUAUCUUAUUAUCUUAUCGAUUCGUGUCAUAUUUUGAACUGGCCUAACUCGAGAACAAAAAAAUUAUUAAUUUAUCGUGUUUAUUCAUUUAUAGAAUUUCUACUGCAUAUCUCUUUUUUUUGGCAAAAAGUUAUAUGUUCUAUUACAAAGAAGUUUUUUGUGUAAUGUUGCAGAUGGAGAUUAUGCUUCAAGAAAUUCAAUCCUUGAGGAACAAGGUAAGCACAUUACAUCAUUGUAUAUUCAGCUUCAUAUAAAUCAGUACGUAUGAGUCAGGAUUUUGGUUUUGAAAAUGAAAAACAAAAAACAUUAAAUUAACAUUGCUCAACGGUUUUGUAUGUCUGUGUGAAGGAAGGAGUCCUCGAAAAUGCCAACAAGUAUCUCCUCGAUAAGGUAUCAAAUUUACUAGUAUGUAAUUGUUAUAAUUGCACAUCUUAUGAAGUUGGAGAUCUAUAAGAGAGUUAUAUCCAAAUGCAUAUCUUGAUAUAGUCACAACAUUCCAAUGAUAUUUAGACUGAUUUGCCCUAACGCUUUACUUUGUUGCUGUGUUGGUGAAAUAAUGCAGAUAGAGGAGAACAACAAUAGCAUAUUAGAUGCUAACUUCGCAACAGUGGAGACUAACUAUUCUUAUAUUCCACUAGCCAUGCCAAGUGAAAUAUUUCAGUUCUAGACCAUAGGAUAUUUGAAGACUAUGUCUUACGAAUUCAAAUAAUCUUUGGUAAGCAUAAUUAGUGUAUUAAAAUCAUGCACAAGUAUAAUAAAGUAUGUGGUACUUGCUAGGCUAUUGAAAAUCUAUUUGUAACUUUUUCCUCUUGUUUUAAUUUGUUGGUGUGAGCGGUGAAAUGACUAAAAGUAUUGUUUGUAUACUUUGCACUUAAAAUCUUUCUAUCUAUGUUUUGAGUUUAUGGAUUACUGUAGAAACUCAAUAAAUUAAUACUCGAUAAUUAAUAAACACUAUAAAUUAAUAAAUUUUUCUCGUACCAAAUUGGGUCGGUUCAAAAUAUGAUACAAAUCGAUAAAAUAAUAACAUAAUAAUAUUUUAGAAAAUCCUAUACAUAUAUGGUCCCGUUAAAAUGAUAAACUAAUAAUUUUUGUAUAUAUACAUUUUAUAUAAGUACAAACAAACAGUUGUAUUAUUUGCUUUAUUUCACAAUAGAAUUAUUUUUUUAUUUUCUUAACACUUCAAUAUAUUUUACUAAUAUUUAGUAAAAUUAUACCUAAACCACAUUUAAAAUUUAUAAACAUAUUUCAUAUACACCAAAUAAUACAAUAACAAUAAUGUGAAAGUCGAAUUUCAAAAAAUUAAUUAAUAUAAAUAUGGUAAAAUCAAUUAUUUUGUAAAAAAAUAUUAUAAAAUAUAAAAAAUUCAGAAAAAACUUUUUGUAAAUUAAAUAACUCUAUAAAUUAAUAAAAUGGCAUAGUAUCAACAUUAUUAAUUUAUAGAGUUUUUACUCUAUAGGGUUUGUGUUGACUGAGGAUGCAUAUCCUCUUUUUCAAUGUAUUUACAUUGUUAUCUAUGUAACCUCUAGACUCCAACGUAGAAAAUGGAUAGUUAAGAACAAAGUGGUAUUUGUUGUUCAAAAAAAAAAAAAAAAAAAAAAAAAAAAAAGAACAAAGUGGUAUUUCAACACAAAAUCGAAAUGAUUUGACUCGAUUCGAAAACUGAUAAUGUAAAAAGAACAAAGUGGUAUUUCAACACAAAAUCGAAAUGAUUUGACUCGAUUCGAAAACUGAUAAUGUAAUGAAACUUAAAACAAUGCUCCAUAGAUGUUUUUUUACAAAAAAAAAAAAUGCUCCAUAGAUGUGGAAACUUUCAAAGUGGCUUAACAUUCGAUGAUACGAGUGAACUACCAUUUAUGGCAAAAAAAAAACGACUACCAUUUAGUAGGUCCCACGUUUGUAUCAUUCCAUCACACAGUCUGAGAAGUUAAACAUUGAAAGUCAACCCUACAGUUAAUAGAUCAAUAUUCAGGAAGCAAGAUGCGAAUUCCUACUAGUAUAACCACCAUCUUGAAUUAGAAGAGACUUUUUUUGUUGCUUUUUCUCGCUUCUUCAACAUAAUUGGUCUUCACGACUGUCUGACUUUGAAAGCUAGCUUAAACGUCAUUGAGAACAUCGACAAUUUAAAUGCAACCUUUCUCUCUUUUUAUUUUUAUUUUUUUAGACAAAUGCAACAUUUCUCUUCUUUAUCUUCUUUUGAUUAUAUUUGCCUCUUCCUUGUGAGCUUAACAAAAGUAGUCGUUUGUAAAGGAGGUUCUUUUUUUUUGAUUAAGCAUUUGCAAAUCUUCCACUAGCUCAACGACUACAUUAUUCUCUAAUCAUACCUUUUACCAUAAGUUCCAUUAACUGAUCUAAAAUUAACUGCUAAUAAUAUAAAUGUUUGUAUAUCUACGUACGUAAGUCAUUCACUUCGAAACAUGUGUUUAGUGUAUAAAAAAUACAGGAUAUGGUAUAAUGAUUUUAUGGAUAUGCUAUAUGUAUACGGUAUACCAUAACUCACAUAUUGUGAUUGUCGUGAAUUGCUUUUAUUACUGUGUGGUAGAAGACGGAUACAAACAUUUACUACUCUUCACCAAAACCCCUCUCUUUCCCUCUAUAAAUCUCUCAAAUUCUUACUUUUCUUCACCCAAUAAAAUUAACCCUAUCAAACUCAAACAACUUCACAAUAUGGCUUUCCACUUCCGGCGACUAUGCUACUUUCCAGCUCUUCUCUUGGUGGUUAUCCAGCUUUUGCAUGGCGUCUGCGGCCAACUAGUUGUGGUUGAGGAACCUACUUAUGCUCCUCCGCCUCCACUAGUUGUGAUUGAGGAACCUACUUCUUCUCCUCCGCCUCCAUUAGAUGUGGUUAAUGAACCUAUUUUUGCUCCUCCGCCUCCAUUAGAUGUGGUUAAUGAACCUAUUUCUGCUCCUCCGCCUCCAUUAAAUGUGGUUGAGGAACCUCUUUCUGCUCCUCCGCCUCCAUUACAUGUGGUUGAGGAACCUAUUUCUGCUCCUCCGCCUCCAUUAGUCAAACAAGACGGCAAUGAUGGCAUUGUGCCGGCAUUGUUUGUCUUUGGUGACUCUCUCAUAGACAAUGGGAACAACAAUAACAUCCCUUCCUUUGCUAAAGCCAAUUACUUCCCUU
rnacentral:lncRNA from 1 species